ensembl:misc_RNA Metazoa_SRP Metazoan signal recognition particle RNA
GCUGGGCAUGGUGGCGCACGCCUGUAAUCCAGCUACUUGGGAGGCUGAGGCAGGAGAAUUGCUUGAAUUCAGGAGGCCAAGGGUGCGGUGAGCCGGGAUCGCGCCAUUGCACUCCAGCCUGGGUAACAAGAGCGAAAUUCUGUCUCAA